rnacentral:rRNA from 1 species
GGAUAGGUAGGAGACUUUGAAGUCGGAACGCUAGUUUCGAUUGAGUCACCCUUGAGAUACUACCUCUGUUGUAUGAACGUUCUAACUCUGAUCAGUUAUCCUGAUCGAAGACAGUGUCUGGCAGGCAGUUUGACUGGGGCGGUCGCCUCCUAAAAGAUAACGGAGGCGCUCAAAGGUUUGCUCAGAAUGGUUGGAAAUCAUUCGUAGCGUGUAAAGGCAUAAGCAAGCUUGACUGUGAGACUGACAAGUCGAGCAGGUACGAAAGUAGGACUUAGUGAUCCGGUGGUUCCGUAUGGAAGGGCCAUCGCUCAACGGACAAAAGCUACCCCGGGGAUAACAGGCUCAUCUCCCCCAAGAGUCCACAUCGACGGGGAGGUUUGGCACCUCGAUGUCGGCUCAUCGCAUCCUGGGGCUGUAGUCGGUCCCAAGGGUUGGGCUGUUCGCCCAUUAAAGCGGUACGCGAGCUGGGUUCAGAACGUCGUGAGACAGUUCGGUCCCUAUCCGUCGUGGGCGCAGGAAAUUUGAGAGGAUCUGUCCUUAGUACGAGAGGACCGGGAUGGACAUACCUCUGGUGUACCAGUUGUUCUGCCAAGAGCACCGCUGGGUAGCUACGUAUGGAUUAGAUAAUCGCUGAAAGCAUCUAAGUGAGAAACUAACCUCGAGAUGAGAUUUCCCAUUCGUCAGAAGUAAGACCCCUGAGAGACGAUCAGGUAGAUAGGCUAGAAGUGGAAGUGUAGUGAUGCAUGGAGCGGACUAGUACUAAUAGGUCGAGGACUUAACCAAG